AUUGAACGCUGGCGGCAGGCCUAACACAUGCAAGUCGAACGGUAACAGGAAACAGCUUGCUGUUUCGCUGACGAGUGGCGGACGGGUGAGUAAUGUCUGGGAAACUGCCUGAUGGAGGGGGAUAACUACUGGAAACGGUAGCUAAUACCGCAUAACGUCGCAAGACCAAAGAGGGGGACCCUCGGGCCUCUUGCCAUCGGAUGUGCCCAGAUGGGAUUAGCUUGUUGGUGGGGUAACGGCUCACCAAGGCGACGAUCCCUAGCUGGUCUGAGAGGAUGACCAGCCACACUGGAACUGAGACACGGUCCAGACGACUACGGGAGGCAGCAGUGGGGAAUAUUGCACAAUGGGCGAAAGCCUGAUGAAGCCAUGCCGCGUGUAUGAAGAAGGCCUUCGGGUUGUAAAGUACUUUCAGCGGGGAGGAAGGGAGUAAAGUUAAUACCUUUGCUCAUUGACGUUACCCGCAGAAGAAGCACCGGCUAACUACGUG
rnacentral:rRNA from 1 species